rnacentral:rRNA from 1 species
UACAGAGGUCCCAAGCGUUGUUCGGAUUCAUUGGGCGUAAAGGAUGCGUAGAUGGUGGAAUAAGUUAUUGGUCAAAGUCAAGCUCAACUUGGCGGAAGCUGGUAAUACUAUUCUACUUGAGGAUAGGAGAGGUUGGCGGAAUUCUGUGUGGAGCGGUGAAAUGCGUUGAUCGUACAGAGGAACACCAAAAAAGCGAAGGCAGCCAACUAUUCUAUUCCUGACAUUGAGGCA